rnacentral:piRNA from 1 species
UGUACUACUCGUUUAGCAGCCUUCAU